GAUGAACGCUGGCGGCGUGCUUAACACAUGCAAGUCGAACGGUGAAAGAGAGCUUGCUCUCUGGAUCAGUGGCGAACGGGUGAGUAACACGUGAGCAAUCUGCCCCUGACUCUGGGAUAAGCGCUGGAAACGGCGUCUAAUACCGGGUACGAGCUGCGAAGGCAUCUUCAGCAGCUGGAAAGAACUUCGGUCAGGGAUGAGCUCGCGGCCUAUCAGCUAGUUGGUGAGGUAACGGCUCACCAAGGCGUCGACGGGUAGCCGGCCUGAGAGGGUGACCGGCCACACUGGGACUGAGACACGGCCCAGACUCCUACGGGAGGCAGCAGUGGGGAAUAUUGCACAAUGGGCGAAAGCCUGAUGCAGCAACGCCGCGUGAGGGACGACGGCCUUCGGGCUGUAAACCUCUUUUAGCAGGGAAGAAGCGAAAGUGACGGUACCUGCAGAAAAAGCACCGGCUAACUACGUG
rnacentral:rRNA from 1 species